GUCGGCAGGCGAUCCGCGUCGGUCGCGCGAGGUGGUAUGGUUCCCCAGAGGCCGGUUCUUGUGCUGCCUACCCCUUCAGGGGAAGCGGGCCACUUGAUGUAAGCCUCCAUCCGGCGCCCUCCAACGGGCGCAGGAGGACAACAGAGCACACCCCGCGUACCACCGAGCCUUCGUCGGUCGCGUGGCGCGCGGGGACGUGCGAUGCUCUCGGACCCAGCGGACGCCGUGGGCGAGGACUCACGUCCCAGUCCCGAUAGAAGCUUCGGUAUAAUGCAUGACGGCCGCUCCCGCCCCCCGACCGCCCCGGCGGCGCGUGGGCGAGGCGCGGCGUCGCGGAGGAAUGCUACCUGGUUGAUCCUGC
rnacentral:misc_RNA from 1 species